rnacentral:rRNA from 1 species
ACGGAAGGCAGCAGUGGGGAAUAUUGGGCAAUGGGCGAAAGCCUGACCCAGCAACGCCGCGUGAAGGAAGAAGGUCUUCGGAUUGUAAACUUCUUUUAUGAGGGACGAAGGAAUUGACGGUACCUCAUGAAUAAGCCACGGCUAACUACGUGCCAGCAGCCGCGGUAAUACGUAGGUGGCAAGCGUUAUCCGGAUUUACUGGGUGUAAAGGGCGCGUAGGCGGGGAAGCAAGUCAGAUGUGAAAUCCAUGGGCUCAACUCAUGAACUGCAUUUGGAACUGUUUUUCUCGAGUGUCGGAGAGGUAGAUGGAAUUCCUAGUGUAGCGGUGAAAUGCGUAGAUAUUAGGAAGAACACCGGUGGCGAAGGCGAUCUACUGGACGAUAACUGACGCUGAGGCGCGAAAGCGUGGGGAGCAAACAGGAUUAGAUACCCUGGUA